CCUACGGGAGGCAGCAGUGGGGAAUAUUGCGCAAUGGGCGAAAGCCUGACGCAGCGACGCCGCGUGAGGGAUGAAGGUCUUCAGAUCGUAAACCUCUGUCAGCAGGGAAGAACGGUCACUGUGCUAAUCAGCAGUGCAUUGACGGUACCUGCAACGGAAGCACCGGCUAACUCCGUGCCAGCAGCCGCGGUAAUACGGAGGGUGCGAGCGUUAAUCGGAAUUACUGGGCGUAAAGCGCUCGUAGGCGGUAUGGCAAGUCAAGGGUGAAAUCCCCGCGCUCAACGUGGGAACUGCCUUUGAAACUGGCAAACUGGAGUGUGUGAGAGGAUAGUGGAAUUCCAGGUGUAGGAGUGAAAUCCGUAGAUAUCUGGAGGAACAUCAGUGGCGAAGGCGACUAUCUGGCACAUAACUGACGCUGAGGAGCGAAAGCGUGGGUAGCAAACAGGAUUAGAUACCCCAGUAGUC
rnacentral:rRNA from 1 species